UGGGGAAUCUUCCGCAAUGGGCGCAAGCCUGACGGAGCAACGCCGCGUGAGUGAAGAAGGUCUUCGGAUCGUAAAGCUCUGUUGAUGGGGACGAACGUGCCUAAUGCGAAUAGUAUUAGGUACUGACGGUACCCAUCGAGGAAGCCACGGCUAACUACGUGCCAGCAGCCGCGGUAAUACGUAGGUGGCGAGCGUUGUCCGGAAUCAUUGGGCGUAAAGGGAGCGCAGGCGGGCAUGUAAGUCUUUCUUAAAAGUGCGGGGCUCAACCCCGUGAUGGGAAAGAAACUAUGUGUCUUGAGUACAGGAGAGGAAAGCGGAAUUCCCAGUGUAGCGGUGAAAUGCGUAGAUAUUGGGAGGAACACCAGUGGCGAAGGCGGCUUUCUGGACUGCAACUGACGCUGAGGCUCGAAAGCCAGGGGAGCGAACGGG
rnacentral:rRNA from 1 species